UACGUAGGGAGCAAGCGUUGUCCGGAAUCAUUGGGCGUAAAGCGCGCGUAGGCGGCCCGAUAAGUCCGCUGUGAAAGUCAACGGCUCAACUGUUGGAUGCCGGUGGAUACUGUCGGGCUAGAGUACGGAAGAGGCAAGUGGAAUUCCUGGUGUAACGGUGGAAUGCGCAGAUAUCAGGAGGAACACCUAUAGCGAAGGCAGCUUGCUGGGACGUUACUGACGCUAAGGCGCGAAAGCGUGGGGAGCGAACAGG
rnacentral:rRNA from 1 species